GUGUCCCAAUAUUUUGUGCAUAUACUAUAAAAACAUCAAUAUUUCCUUCAAGUUUAAUGGGAAGUUUUUCUUCUUAAAUGAAAUGUGAAGAAAGUAGAUGGUUAGUUGAGGUAGAAAAUUAUUGUUUAGAGUGAGAGCA